rnacentral:rRNA from 1 species
GACGUAGGGCGCGAGCGUUGUCCGGAUUUAUUGGGCGUAAAGAGCUCGUAGGCGGCUUGUCGCGUCGACUGUGAAAUCUCAGGGCUCAACCCCGAACUUGCAGUGGGUACGGGCAGACUAGAGUGUGGUAGGGGGAGACUGGAAUUCCUGGUGUAGCGGUGAAAUGCGCAGAUAUCAGGAGGAACACCGGUGGCGAAGGCGGUGGGCUGGGCCGGAACUGACGCUGAGGAGCGAAAGCGUGGGGAGCGAACAGG